rnacentral:rRNA from 1 species
AUCAGCUGCGAUAGUACGUUGAAUGUGCCUGUUCGCAAUUCUUCAUUGAAGUUGAGCAACGUUGCGCAGGGUUGGUAUCCGGAUGGGUGACCAUUUGGGCAAUAGCGUGCUGCUGACU